AAUUACCCUAAAAAUAUCGAUAGCAGUAGAAAGCCAAUGCUUAAACGUCAGGGCAUUGAAGCGUUGACCUUUUCACUGAAUUCAGUUCAAUUUAUAAAAAUCUGCUAAAAUCUGAAAGCAUCAUAAUCAAGACUUUUUCGAGGAUCUAAAGCUGUGUGGUGGAUCGAAAUGGAACGCUUCCGCAAAGCUAUUGAUUUUAUAAAGCACAACCGUUUUGAAAUUCUCAAUUUUACGUGUUGCACUAUAUUAAUGAUCGCAGCCGGAGUAGUAUCAUUAGACGACUAUUUGGCGGCUGGGAUUACAGGACUAUUCCGCCUGCAACUACAAAACAAGUUGAAAUGGAAUUACCUCGCCGCCGCUGGUAGCUACACAAUUUUUUUGGCGCUGGUCUUAGCAAGUAUUUUGGUACAGCACCGCUUCCGACAUCGCUUUUAUAGAGUAGCUUAGAGUGGUCAGGUGGUACCGAACUCCAGCCUUAUUUUGGAAUUCAAAACACUCUCGGACUCGGACAAUAGGACACCAACAAAUGAGAAGAAACUUUGGAAAACGAGCCGAAAAUUAUAAAUUUGCAUCCUGUUAAGAUUCCCGUUAAGAUUCAUUUCUGUAUCCUGAAAACCUCUGUAUGUCCUUUGGCAAAAAUACAUAGUUACCCUCUA